CCUACGGGUAGCAGCAGUGGGGAAUAUUGCACAAUGGGGGAAACCCUGAUGCAGCAACGCCGCGGUAAGGAAGACGGUCUUCGGAUUGUAAACUUCUGUCCUGAGUGAAGAAAAAUGACGGUAGCUAAGGAGCAAGCAACGGCUAACUAGGUGCCAGCAGCCGCGGUAAUACGCAGGUGGCAAGCGUCGUCCGGACUUACUGGGUGUAAAGGGAGCGCAGGUGGGAAGCUAAGUCAGCUGUGAAACCUAGGGGCUUAACUUGUAGAAUGCAGUUGAUACUGGUUUUCUUGAGUAAAGUAGAGGUUGGCAGAAUUCCGGGUGUAGCGGUGAAAUGCGUAGAUAUUCGGAGGAACACAGGUGGCGAAGGCGGCCAACUGGGCUUUAACUGACGCUGAGGCUCGAAAGUGUGGGGAGCAAACAGGAUUAGAUACCCGUGUAGUC
rnacentral:rRNA from 1 species